rnacentral:rRNA from 1 species
UACGGGGGGGGCAAGCGUUGUUCGGAAUUACUGGGCGUAAAGGGCGCGUAGGCGGCCUGCUAAGUCGGACGUGAAAUCCCUCGGCUCAACCGGGGAACUGCGUCCGAUACUGGCGAGGCUUGAAUCCGGGAGAGGGAUGUGGAAUUCCAGGUGUAGCGGUGAAAUGCGUAGAUAUCCGGAGGAACACCAGGGGCGAAAGCGGCCGACUGGUCGAGUACUGACGCUGAGGCGCGACGGCGUGGGGAGCAAACCGG